ACGGGCCCCGCACAAGCAGCGGAGCGUGUGGUUUAAUUCGAUGCUACACGAAGAACCUUACCAGGGUUUGACAUGCAAGUGGUAGGAACCGAAAGGCGACCGACCCUUCGGGGAGCUUGCACAGGUGCUGCAUGGCUGUCGUCAGCUCGUGUCGUGAGAUGUUCGGUUAAGUCCGCUAACGAGCGCAACCCUCGCUGUGUGUUACAAGUGUCACACGGUACUGCCGGUCUUAAGCCGGAGGAAGGUGGGGAUGACGUCAAGUCAGCAUGGCCUUUAUGUCCUGGGCUACACACACGCUACAAUGGCCAACACAAUAGGUUGCUAAGCCGCGAGGUGGAGCCAAUCCUCAAAGUUGGUCUCAGUUCAGAUUGCAGGCUGCAACCCGCCUGCAUGAAGAUGGAGUUGCUAGUAACCGCAGGUCAGCUAUACUGCGGUGAAUACGUUCCCGGGGCUU
rnacentral:rRNA from 1 species